AGACUUGCUUCCUUUUGGCUAAGAUCAAGUGUAGUAUCUGUUCUUAUCAGUUUAUUAUCUAAUGUGUCCUCUAUCCACUAUAUUUAUAAGAUCUAAAAAUAUAC
rnacentral:snRNA from 1 species